UACGUAGGGGGCUAGCGUUAUCCGGAAUUACUGGGCGUAAAGGGUGCGUAGGUGGUUUCUUAAGCCAGAGGUGAAAGGCUACGGCUCAACCGUAGUAAGCCUUUGAAACUGGGAAACUUGAGUGCAGGAGGGGAGAGUGGAAUUCCUAGUGUAGCGGUGAAAUGCGUAGAUAUUAGGAGGAACACCAGUUGCGAAGGCGGCUCUCUGGACUGUAACUGACACUGAGGCACGAAAGCGUGGGGAGCAAACAGGAUUAGAUACCCUGGUAGUCCCUGAGCGGG
rnacentral:rRNA from 1 species